UGACUCAACCUAUGAGACAGAGCUCUGAUCCC
rnacentral:piRNA from 1 species